UUAUUUCUUUCGUUUUAGUUCUACGUAAAUAUUUAUUACGUUUCCCUGUUAGCUUUAGAGUGCGUGGAGGAAGAUAAAGUCUACAUCCUCGGAGGUUUAGUGGAUGAAACCAUACAAAAGAAAAUAAGCUACACGAGGGCGAAAGAGCUCGGCGUUCGCACGGCGCGGCUGCCGAUUGACGAGUACAUGGUGAAGAGACCAAACCCCAAAAACUUCCACUCUAAAAUCCUAGCCAUUAACCAAGUGUUUGAAAUCCUUCUGACAUUUCGGGACAUUAAAGACUGGACUAAUGCGCUUGCUGCGGGAAUACCUCCAGGAAAAGGUUACAUGGUGGCGUCAGCGGCAUCUACAGACAUAAACACUCCAGAAGAGCUGUAGACACACAUAGGCUUUGGUUUCAUAGAGUUUAUAAGGCCUCGAGCCUAUAAUAGUGUUAUGAACUCAUCUAUAUAUUAGACGACUUUAUGUUUGACUGAAGUAACUUGAAUUAAUAAUAUUCAAAAUACUUGACUGCAUCUUUUGUAUCACGUUUCUUUUAUUUUGAAAUGCUCUAAUUCGGUUGUCUCAGGGAUGGUUUUGCACAAACAGUCUAAAUACUGAGCUGAUGGAUAUUUUGUCAGCAUUAAAGCCACUGGUUAAAACUGAUAUAUGCAAGGAUCACAUUACAAGUGAUAAAGUAAUCACCAGUGU